AGCAGCCGCGGUAAUUCCAGCUCCAAUAGCGUAUAUUAAAGUUGUUGCAGUUAAAAAGCUCGUAGUUGAAUUUCGAGAUCAAAUUGUUGGUCGUGCCUCGGUACGUACUGGCAUUAUUGAUUUCUCCCUUCUGAUGAAUCAUGAUGUCAUUAAUUUGAUGUCAUGGGGAAUCAGGACUGUUACUUUGAAAAAUUAGAGUGUUUAAAGCAGGCUCGCGCUUGAAUACAUUAGCAUGGAAUAAUGAAAUAGGACGUUUGAUUCUAUUUUGUUGGUUUCUAGGAUUGACGUAAUGAUUAAUAGGGAUAGUUGGGGGCAUUAGUAUUCAAUUGUCAGAGGUGAAAUUCUUGGAUUUAUUGAAGACUAACUACUGCGAAAGCAUUUGCCAAGGAUGUUUUCAUUAAUCAAGAACGAAAGUUAGGGGAUCGAAGACGAUCAGAUACCGUCGUAGUC
rnacentral:rRNA from 1 species